rnacentral:lncRNA from 1 species
UCAGCACGGGAGAAUUCUGCACUACAGCGAUCCCUUCAUCCUCUUCCUGUUUCUGCUGGCCUUCUCCACAGCGACCAUCAUGCAGUGCUUCCUGCUUAGCACUUUCUUCUCCAAGGCCAGCCUUGCAGCAGCCUGCAGUGGGGUCAUCUACUUCACCCUCUACCUACCACACAUUCUGUGCUUUGCCUGGCAGGACCGGAUGACGGCUGACCUGAAGAUGAUUGUGAGCCUGCUUUCUCCUGUGGCAUUUGGCUUCGGCACUGAGUACCUGGUCCGCUUUGAAGAGCAAGGCCUGGGGCUGCAGUGGGACAACAUUGGGAAGAGUCCCAUGGAAGGGGAUGAGUUCAGUUUCCUGCUGUCCAUGAAGAUGUUGCUGCUUGAUGCUGCUCUGUAUGGCUUGCUUGCCUGGUAUCUUGACCAGGUUUUUCCAGGUAAGCAAGGAAAAGCCAGGCUACUUUAUCUCCAUGGUCAAGGAAAUUAGAUUCUUCAGAUGCAGACUGAAGGUGUGGCCCAGACUUCCAGUUUAAAC